GAUGAACGCUGGCGGCGUGCCUAAUACAUGCAAGUCGAGCGAACAGACGAGGAACUUUCUCCUCUUACGUUAGCGGCGGACGGGGGAGUAAAACGUGGAUAACCUACCUAUAAGACUGGGAUAACUUCGGGAAAACGGAGCUAAUACCGGAUAAUAUAUUGAACCGCAUGGUUCAAUAGUGAAAGACGGUUUUGCUGUCACUUAUAGAUGGAUCCGCGCCGCAUUAGCUAGUUGGUAAGGUAACGGCUUACCAAGGCAACGAUGCGUAGCCGACCUGAGAGGGUGAUCGGCCACACUGGAACUGAGACACGGUCCAGACUCCUACGGGAGGCAGCAGUAGGGAAUCUUCCGCAAUGGGCGAAAGCCUGACGGAGCAACGCCGCGUGAGUGAUGAAGGUCUUCGGAUCGUAAAACUCUGUUAUUAGGGAAGAACAAAUGUGUAAGUAACUAUGCACGUAUUGACGGUACCUAAUCAGAAAGCCACGGCUAACUACGUG
rnacentral:rRNA from 1 species